rnacentral:rRNA from 1 species
GGUUGCGAUCAUACCAGCACUAAUGCACCGGAUCCCAUCAGAACUCCGCAGUUAAGCGAAGUCCUCGUGUUGCAACCC